UGGGAUUCUUUGGAAAAGGAGGCUGCCGCUUGCAGAGAUGUGGACUCGAGUCACAAAUAUGAUGACUUGCAACUCGACUUUGACUUUAACACCAAUGACUCGUGACUUGACUUGAGCCUUAUGACUCGACCUGACUUGAUACCCUCCCCAAGCCCAAAUAUAAAAAAUGAUGCUAUUAAAAAAAGUGUGGAGCGCAUCAAAUCUUCAUUUAACGGAUUAAAGUUUGAAUCGGACAGCAGCCAAUCAAAUUGUGCCAGCGGAGAAAAAGUUAUGCGUGGCAGUGCAGAGGAACGUCAGCGGGUGAAUUCAGAUUGAGCCAUUGGAAAGAUAAUACCCAAAUUAUUAUUUUCGGAUAUACAGAAUACGCUGUAGUCAACAAAAAACGGAUUGCAACUUGCAAAACAAGCGGGAAGAAAAUUACAGAUGGAGGUGCGACAACUUCCAACUUUGUUCUACAUUUGAAGCUGCACAAAGGACGAUUUGAACAAUACCAGAUGAACAAAAGUGUCACAAGUGAACCACAACAAUCUCCAAUCUCACAUUUCAUGGAGACCCGUGUAGGGCAGUACAGCAUGAAUCAUCCAAAGCUAUCAACAAUGCAAUACUGUCCGACCUGGUUAUCGAUUGGAACUUGACUCUGUAUAUUGUGGAAAACAAGAGUUUUCGUCACAUUCUGUCAGUGGUUGACAGUAAGUACAGCCCAUUGUGUCGUAGAACAUUGACAUCAAAAGUUGAGAACCUCCCUACAGAGAGAUGUUCAAAACUGAAAUCUCAGUUGAGCAACACAGAUCAUGUUUCAGUCACAGUGAACAUUUGGUCUGACCAAAGGAUGACGGGGUUCCUUGGUGUCACUGUGCACUGUAUGGAGAGAGGACACAGCUCAAGUCCAAUCUCUUGGCCUGUGUCCGCUUCAAAGGCCCACACACGGCCGAAAGAAUCUGUGAGCAAUUUGAAGCCAUAUGUGGUGAGUACAGCGUUAAAGAUAAAUUAGACUAUAUCAUUAGUGACAAUGCUCCCAACAUGAGAAAAGCAUUCAUGGUGUGCUUCCCCAUUGAACAAGAAGAUGAAGUACAUGACGAAGAUCACCUUGAUGACCCAGAGCUCUGGAAUGACCUAACCCUGGAAGACCAGCAAAUAGUGGAUGCUGCUAUUGCAAAAAAGCAGCACUUGCAGUGUUUUGCCCACACUCUCCAGCUGGUGGUGGGAGAUGGCUUGAAAGAAACAAAAGUGAUGACUCCUCUUUCAAAGUUAUCAAAAAUCAGCUCACUGCUACAUACAAGCACAACAUCCAAAGAGGUGUUUGAGGCUGAAUUUGGGGAAAGAGGCAUCCCUGCUGCUGUCAACACAAGAUGGAACUCAACACUGAGACAAGUGAAGGCAGUUAUACCAAUGUGCUCAUCGAAAGCUCAGUCAUGUUCAAGAAAGGGCUGGGCACAAGGAGUUGUUGUUCACAGUACGGGAGUGGAAAAGUUGAAGGAGUUGGUGGACAUCCUGAGGCCAAUUGGAGAAGCAACAGAUAUGACACGGGGAGAAGAUAGUCACAGUCAGUUCUGUUGUUCCCUCGGUCCUGUCCCUGAAUCACCACCUGGAGCAGCGGAAGCCUCAAGUCCAUUUCCUGAGCGGCAUGGUCAGAAGUCUCCAGGCAUCCCUGAACAAAAGAUUUCUUGGAAUCUUCAUCAAUGUGAAGAUGGCCAGGACACAAGAUGGAAUCGCUGCCCCCUUUUCAGAUCCAGUCUACCUCAAAGCAGCUGCCUUGGAUCUGUCUUUUUCUCUGAUGUGGGUGGAGCACCAUGUGCUGGUCAAGGAGGAGGUGGCACAAAGAGUGAAAGAACUGAUUCUGCAAGAUGCUACAGGGACUGAGCAAGCUGUGCCUCUUGUUGAUGAGGAAGAGCGAGAGGACCAUAGUCUUGGACAAGAAGAAGGGCUGUUUGCAGCAUACUGUAAAAAGCUGUUGAUACCACUCCAGCACUACCGCUAAGUCACUACCUUGACAUAUGCGAAGGACAGAAUGCCCUCUUGUUCUGGGCAAUGAACAGGAAGGCUCUUCCUUCGCUCUCCCGAGUGGCCAUCAGACUUGGCAGUGCCUGCCUCCAGUGCUCCGGUGGAGCGUGUCUUCAGCCAUGGUGGCAUCAUUCUGUGGCCUCAUCGUGCACAAAUGUCUGACUGACUUUUAGCUAAUUUGGUCUUUUGCAAAUGCAAUGCAUCAUAGGGCCCUGAGAUAAGAGAAAAAAUUAAACUGUUUAUGCAUUACACACACACACACGUAGUCUCCAUGUUCAGGUUUUAUCUCCCAUCUUUGGGAUCUGUAUUUUUUUCUCAGACAUUCAGGCCGGCGUUCAAAUUGUUGGCCUACUUGAAGUUCAGUGUCAGUUGUUUGAUGUACCUUUUAAUAAAUGAUUGUAACUUUAUGGCAGGAUUGUUUUACGUGUCUAGAGUAUAUCUGGAGAGCGAGAGAGAGAGCACUACAAUAUUUAGGUUUUGUUGUCAUAUUGAUGUGUCUUUCUCAUGGCUACCCAUGUACUUCCAUGGAAAUAUAAAGUUUAUUUGGAAAGUAAUAAAUAUAUCAUUUUAAAAGCAUUUAUGAUUUGAGUAAAUUUAAUAUAUUAUUACUCUUGUUAAAUAUGAAAUGGUAUCACAUUUGGUGAAGAGCACAUUGUGACUUGUUUAGGACUCGAAACUCAAAGUUUAGGACUUGAGACUUGACUCGGACUUGCCUGUCUUGACUUGAGUGCUAAGACUUGAGACUUACUUGUGACUUGUAAAACAAUGACUUUGUCCCAUCUCUGGCCGCUUGCAUGAUCCCAUGUGUCUUCUUGAACUCUUGAGUUUAACUCAGUAAUCUGUCUGUCUAGAAUAUUGUUCCAAAAUUGCCUCAGGUCACUGUCACUCUUUGAUGCUGGAUGUUUUCCCUAAUGAAGUUGUGACUACACUGUCUGCCAAUUUUACAGGCAGUUUUCGCUGCCGUGAUGCGCUCA